rnacentral:rRNA from 1 species
GGUGGCGAGUGGCGAACGGGUGAGUAAUAUAUCGGAACGUGCCCAGUAAUGGGGGAUCCCCCGGCGAAAGCCGGAUUAAUACCGCAUACGACCUACGGGUGAAAGCGGGGGAUCGCAAGACCUCGCGUUAUUGGAGCGGCCGAUAUCAGAUUAGCUUGUUGGUGGGGUAAAAGCCCACCAAGGCGACGAUCUGUAGCUGGUCUGAGAGGACGACCAGCCACACUGGGACUGAGACACGGCCCAGACUCCUACGGGAGGCAGCAGUGGGGAAUUUUGGACAAUGGGCGCAAGCCUGAUCCAGCCAUGCCGCGUGUGGGAAGAAGGCCUUCGGGUUGUAAACCACUUUUGUCAGGGAAGAAACGGCCCGAUCUAAUACAUUGGGCUAAUGACGGUACCUGAAGAAUAAGCACCGGCUAACUACGUGCCAGCAGCCGCGGUAAUACGUAGGGUGCAAGCGUUAAUCGGAAUUACUGGGCGUAAAGCGUGCGCAGGCGGCUUUGCAAGACAGAUGUGAAAUCCCCGGGCUCAACCUGGGAACUGCAUUUGUGACUGCAUGGCUAGAGUACGGUAGAGGGGGAUGGAAUUCCGCGUGUAGCAGUGAAAUGCGUAGAUAUGCGGAGGAACACCGAUGGCGAAGGCAAUCCCCUGGACCUGUACUGACGCUCAUGCACGAAAGCGUGGGGAGCAAACAGGAUUAGAUACCCUGGUAGUCCACGCCCUAAACGAUGUCAACUGGUUGUUGGACGGCUUGCUGUUCAGUAACGAAGCUAACGCGUGAAGUUGACCGCCUGGGGAGUACGGCCGCAAGGUUGAAACUCAAAGGAGUUGACGGGGACCCGCACAAGCGGUGGAUGAUGUGGUUUAAUUCGAUGCAACGCGAAAAACCUUACCUACCCUUGACAUGUCUAGAAGUUUCCAGAGAUGGAUUCGUGCUCGAAAGAGAACUAGAACACAGGUGCUGCAUGGCCGUCGUCAGCUCGUGUCGUGAGAUGUUGGGUUAAGUCCCGCAACGAGCGCAACCCUUAUCAUUAGUUGCUACGCAAGGGCACUCUAAUGAGACUGCCGGUGACAAACCGGAGGAGGGUGGGGAUGACGUCAGGUCAUCAUGGCCCUUAUGGGUAGGGCUACACACGUCAUACAAUGGCCGGUACAGAGGGCUGCCAACCCGUGAGGGGGAGCUAAUCUCAGAAAACCGGUCGUAGUCCGGAUCGCAGUCUGCAACUCGACUGCGUGAAGUCGGAAUCGCUAGUAAUCGCGGAUCAGCUUGCCGCGGUGAAUACGUUCCCGGGUCUUGUACACACCGCCCGUCACACCAUGGGAGCGGGUUCUGCCAGAAGUAGUUAGCCUAACCGCAAGGAGGGCGAUUACCACGGCAGGGUUCGUGACUG